rnacentral:rRNA from 1 species
GAUGAACGCUGGCGGCGUGCCUAAUACAUGCAAGUCGAGCGAACGGACGAGAAGCUUGCUUCUCUGAUGUUAGCGGCGGACGGGUGAGUAACACGUGGAUAACCUACCUAUAAGACUGGGAUAACUUCGGGAAACCGGAGCUUAUACCGGAUAAUAUUUUGAACCGCAUGGUUCAAAAGUGAAAGACGGUCUUGCUGUCACUUAUAGAUGGAUCCGCGCUGCAUUAGCUAGUUGGUAAGGUAACGGCUUACCAAGGCAACGAUGCAUAGCCGACCUGAGAGGGUGAUCGGCCACGCUGGAACUGAGACACGGUCCAGACUCCUACGGGAGGCAGCAGUAGGGAAUCUUCCGCAAUGGGCGAAAGCCUGACGGAGCAACGCCGCGUGAGUGAUGAAGGUCUUCGGAUCGUAAAACUCUGUUAUUAGGGAAGAACAUAUGUGUAAGUAACUGUGCACAUCUUGACGGUACCUAAUCAGAAAGCCACGGCUAACUACGUG